AGAUUGAACGCUGGCGGCAUGCCUAACACAUGCAAGUCGAACGGGAGUAGCAAUACUCUAGUGGCGGACGGGUGAGGAAUACGUAGGAAUUUGCCCUUAAGUGGGGGAUAACCCGGGGAAACCCGGAUUAAUACCGCAUGACCUCGAAAGAGCAAAGUGGGGGAUCGCAAGACCUCACGCUUUUGGAGAAGCCUACGUCGGAUUAGCUAGUUGGUGAGGUAAUGGCUCACCAAGGCGACGAUCCGUAACUGGUCUGAGAGGAUGAUCAGUCACACCGGAACUGAGACACGGUCCGGACUCCUACGGGAGGCAGCAGUGGGGAAUAUUGGACAAGUGGGCGCAAGCCUGAUCCAGCAAUGCCGCGUGUGUGAAGAAGGCCUUGGUUAGUAAAGCAACUUUAAGGUUAGGGAAGAAAAAACGUACGACGUACCUAAACACAAGUGAAGUCGUUAGACGGUACCGAACAGAAAUAAGACACCGGACUAACUC
rnacentral:rRNA from 1 species